GUGGGUAUCGUCAAGUGGUUAAGACAAUGGGUUGUGGCUCCAUUAUGCGUGGGUUCGAAUCCCACUAUCCACCCCA
rnacentral:tRNA from 2 species